UACGGGGGGGGUAAGCGUUGUUCGGAAUUACUGGGCGUAAAGGGCUCGUAGGCGGCCAACUAAGUCAUACGUGAAAUCCCUCAGCUUAACUGGGGAACUGCGUGUGAUACUGGAUGGCUUGAGUUUGGGAGAGGGAUGCGGAAUUCCAGGUGUAGCGGUGAAAUGCGCAGAUAUCAGGAGGAACACCGGUGGCGAAGGCGGGUCUCUGGGCCGUAACUGACGCUGAGGAGCGAAAGCGUGGGGAGCGAACAGG
rnacentral:rRNA from 1 species